UGUAUUUUAUUCUCCUCUCUGACUUCGGACCCUAGCCACCGCCAGCAGCUGGUCGCCCCCAUUCUUCGCCGCGUCACUUUUAUUCUCCUCCUCUUCAAACUUCUUCUGAGUGCAGUUGAUAAUGGUACAUAUCAUGAAAGGAUGACACAUGGAUCCAGAAGGCAAGAAGUUUGGAGGAGGACCGAGGGAAUUGACAGGGGCUGCAGAUCUUGUAAAUCAUUUCAAAUUACUACCCCACUAUGACUUUUUCUGCAAAAGGUCACUUCCUGAGUCAAUUUUGGACUCACAUUAUCUUUACAAUGUCGUGGGAGACACAGAAAUUAGAAGAGGAGAUAAUUUGCAGUUGGAUCAGCUUAUUCAAAAUUCAUCCUUUUCUAGAGAUACAAGUGCUUGUAUACGGCCUUUUGACUUAGAUGUUCUAAAGGAAGCCUUUCAACUAAGGGAAACAGGUUCCAUUGAUUUGCCUCCGGCCGAGAAGGGGGUUCCCACCACUGUUGGAAAAUCAAAAAUUGAGUCUAAAGACAAGGAGAAGAAGCAUAAAAAGCACAAGGACAGGGACAAAGAGAAGGACAAGGAGCAUAAGAAGCACAAGCAUCGUCAUAAAGACCGAAGCAAAGAUAAAGACAAGGAAAAAAAGAAGGAUAAGAGUGAUCAUCAUGAUUCCAGUGCUGAUCAUGGCAAGAAGCACCAUGAAAAGAAAAGGAAGCAUGAUGGAGAUGAAGAUAUUAUUGAUGUACACAAACACAAAAAAAGUAAGCACAAGAGCUCGAAAAUCAGCGAAUUGGGGGCAAUAAAGGUAGCCGGCUAGAAUGGUCACAUGCUGUAGUUCACUUCUUUUCCUCAUACGGUUAUUGUCUUCUCUAAAGUCUGGAGGCGUCUUUGGCUAGAAAUUAUCAAAUUUCUUGAGCAAAGAAGGAAAGAAAAUUACAGCAGGAAGGAAAGAAAUAGAUUACAUAAAAGAUGGAAAUAGAGAAGAGUAAUAGGAAAUGAUCAUGAUCUGUCAUAACCAGUGGAGGGGCUGUUUCACCUUGUUAAAAGGAGAAGCACAUCACUAUGAGUCAUUAAUGGCAUGAUUUCUAACAUGGGUAGCUGUUAUGGCUUCUUGUUCAUCAACAGUUUUGGGCAGGGAUGAGGACAGAGCCAGGCUGGUUUUUCAGUUCUCGUCCCUGAUCCCAUUCUUUCUUCUUACGUGUUUGGCAAGUAAAAAGCAUAUUGUAACGGGCCUUUUCUUAAUAUGUAUACAUUGCUGGAUCCAGUAAUAUCAGUUUAUUGGGAUUACAAUUUGGUUCCAGUAGGACAGUCGUUAUAACAACAAAUUAGUUGCUCUAGGAAUAUUGUGAUAUUAGUGUUUCAAAUUAACGCGCCUGUUUUUAAUAUUGCAUUGCCAUGGUGAUAUAAGAUACUUGGAGACAUAUUCUUUAGAGGUUUUGAAGCAGUAUGGUUAAGAAAAGCGAUGGCUGAAUUGCAAGAGGAGUUCUGUAUGGUAUUUGACGAGAGUAUGCGUAUUAAUUGCAAAUUAUUAACAAGUUAAAAUAAGAUCUGAGGGGCUUGCUACUAAGGGAGGCCUUUGUCCCUGAGAGUUAGCAUAUCAAUGUUUCUGUGGCUAUGAACUUGAAAAUUCUUGGCUUUAGCUCUUUUUCCUUCUCAUACAAGUUACAGUGUUCUGGGGAAAAUGCUUUGCUUCGUUUCUGGGGCUAUGAGCUUUAAAAACAUGCUUUUACCUUGUCAAACCUGGUCGAGCAAAUUCAAGGGAUUGUAUUAUGAACGUCCAAACCUUUUAAAACCUUUUAAAGCCAAGUGGCAGGAGUUGCUUUUGUUGUAGCAAUCUUCUUACUUAUGAGACAUAUAACACUGAUUUUUCUUUAUCAAAAUCCCUUAAGGGGUGCCUUUUACCUCUGCAAAAACCCCAUAAAUAAUCGACUUUUCAACAUAGAAUGUUUUCAUUCAUUCCCUAAAAUCUUGUGGUAUACGCAAAUGAAUCAAGCUUGGUGAGAAAUCCUCAACAUGGGUUUGGUUCUUUUGGGAAGCAUUAGGUGUAGUAAAAUGGUAGUUAUAAAAUUGCCAUCUUGAUAUCCUCACCUUUUAUUCUGUUCACGAGUGGUAUAAAUUUCUUUACUGUGUCUGGCAUUUAAUCUAUGCCCCAUUGUUACUGUCAGUUUUUGAUUGCUAGCAAUGAUUGACUUUGUUCAUAGUUUAGUUCAUCAUAAGAACUUUUGGAUCUUGAUGGUCGUAGUAUGCAUGAUAUUUCCAAUUUUAUAUACAGAAUUGGUACUGAAUUGACCAAAUAUUAUCCUGAAGGUGAAUUUAGCUGUUGAUUGACGAAAAGUUGGAUGCAAGGGGGGUGGGUACUGCGGAUGAUUUCUCAUUCAAAAAUUAUGGAAUUUUAGGAGCAUGUUUAGUUUGUCAAUGAAAAGGGAAAUUAAAAAAGAAAGAAAAAGAAAAAAGAAGGCAACAGUUCUGCUCUGUCUAUUAUAUUCUGUUAUUCUUGUAAUUAUUACUUAUCUGGUCCUAAAUGUGAGAUUCGUUACACUACAAAAUAGGUUUUACAUUUAGGACAAGAGGAGUAUUAUUUAUUAAUUUUUAGUUUUUAAAGCAUAACACCCGUCCAGCAUAUUAUAUGGAGUUUACAAAAUGAGUUAUAUUGUUCUUGUCUUGUCUCAUGAAA